AGCUAGGGCCUAUAUGAUCAAAUUUAGUUAACUUAUGAAAUGGGUUUGGCCUAGGAUACGGCAUAGGAGCAGGAGGUGCGGCCUAGGAGUAGGAACUCCUAAGUGCAAGCAAUGGCCGACCUUCAGCAGCACCGCAGACGCCAACCCAGGAAUUAUCGCCCCCAGAAAGAUGCUCUUGAAGAAUACGACGACGACGAACUCAUCAGAAGGUUUCGCCUGGACCGUGCGGGAAUUCUUUUUGUCACCGAUAUGGCGCGAGACGUCCUGCAGAGCCCCACGAGGAGGAGCCAUGCCCUCACGCCAGAGAUGAAAGUCUUGAUUCUCCUCAGGUGUGUGGAACUGUGUGAAGAGACAAAAAGUGAAGUCCAUGAUAGUGAGGGCAAAAUUUACUGAUGUACCAAGGUGUGGCUCAGCGACAGGCUGCAGAGUUCAGAAUGUGCAGACGUGCAGUCGUGCAGUUUGGGUCAGCAGAAGCCUCUGCCAGUCACUGACACCUGAAGCAGCAGUAACACCAGCAAGGACAGAAGGAUGGCCAUGGGCGCUGGAGGCAGUGGCGGUGCGCUGCUGUAGAAGGGGCAGUAAAGACACUGUGGAGAGAGACAGAAAUUAAUAGGUUUUAAAACUAGUGCAAACUUCCAUGAAAUAUUAAAACAUGUUUGUGUCCCACUGCAUGUCAGAAAAAGCAAUGAAAAGGGACAUAGUUCCAAAAAAGCAUAAGGCUAAAAUUGGAUCUACUUGGUUUCAUCAGCUCCAACAAAGCAUGAAGUAAUUCCUUUGCAUUGAAGAACACCAAGAGUCAGAGUCCUGUCAGGCUUGCUGUAAACCUGAAUCAAUAUAUGUAGGACGAGAGCUCCAUGAGGCAACCAAGACAGAGACAUGUGUCAGGAGUCUCACUAAGGCCAUUGAGGACUAUUUCAAUGCAAAUGACUGAUGGCCUGCUUACUGAGCCCCACUCAGACUGCCUCUCAGGUUAGUGCUAUUCUAGCAGUAAAGGGUUGCCUCGUGGACAUGGAUGGGCAGAGGGCUCGUUGGGCUGAGAACUUUAAACAGUUGUACGUGGGGGACCCUUCGAGUGGACAGCUCACAAUUAACUGAUGGAUAUAAAAUAAUGGAUGCUCUAAUUGGAGAUCAGAGAGGUUGUGGCAAGGUUGAGGGGUGAAAAGGCAGCUGGUAUUCGAAACAUCAGUGCGGAGCUGCUCAGUGCUGGAGGGGAGGCCAUGAUCCAUGAGUUCUAUUGACCAAAGUCACUGUAGAGCAUCUGUUCACAAUAUGAAGGUUACCAGCUUUGAUUUUGGCAAUGGUACAGUAAAGCUGCCCACACACACAGAGGACUGGCGUCAAGAGGCCAGUCCCCACAAAAUCCUCACCGUGUGUGGGCUCUUGAUUCCAAUCGUCAGAUGGAAUUAUCCAACCUCAUGGAAUUACGUCUGGUUAUAAAUCCACGUGAGGCCGGGAAAGGAUUGGAGUCAUUGAAGCCAAUCCUCUGCGUGUAGGGGACGGCUCGCGCCAGUCACUUGAGGCCACGAGAUAGGCAAAAGGAGUGAUAUCACAGACAUGCUUCUGUAUUAUUUGCUGUAACUCAACUCAUACACGAGAUAGGACAUUUUGGUUAACACUGUUAACCCAGUAGCUGCGGGGGUCAUGUUUCUUAGGUUAGGUUAGGUUAGGUUAAAGGCCCCUCUAAGCAAAAUAAUGAGAAAGAAUCAUCGCUCACGCAAAUCAUUUCAUAAUAAAUAUCAACACAUAUGUGAUCAGUUUAUGUAUCAUCUAUUUUGGGAGGUUUAUAUCAUGGCACAAAUUUGGCCCGUCGCUACUACACGGUAAAGCCACAAAUUUGGCCCGUCGCUGCUACCAGGUUAAAUGCAGCGGUCAUUGCAGAACCCGAAUAUGUUUGUGAAAACUCAAUGAAACAGAAACUAAAUAAAUAGUGACGAGCUGAAAUUAAAGAAUCACUCCGCAAUGUUUAUAACACCUUUUACAUAUUGCUACCAUUUGCAGCGGCAAUGAAUUGAGUACUGAAAUAAACAAUUCCAUUUUAUAGAGAAAAGCCUCCUGAACACGAUGGUGUAUACAGAUUUUUCAUAAAACAUCAAAUAAGUGAAGCACAAAACUUUUUAUAUAAACUUUUCACCUCAUCCCUCGUGUGCCCCGACGGGGUGGGUGCGAAGGGGGUGUAGUGUUCCUAGGCUCUGC